CCAAAAUGCGUCAUGGACAUCAAAGCAAUCACUCAGCUCAUUGUGCUUCCUACAGCCAUAGCCCCCAAAAUAUAUUAGCCUGUCCUUGUACACCCAGCAGGAAAGCUUGUCACGUGGUGUAGGAGGUUGACCUUUAAAAUUGGUGAUUUUUUUCCACCUAUAGGUUCCAUUUUUUGUUCGCAAAUUAACAUAAUAAAGCCGAUUACUGUAUCCCUUAUCAUCAAAUCCACCAAAAAUGUACAGCUUCCCAUUAAUGCUUGCUCCACAGCUUCCUGACAUGGACGUAGGUAACUCUCCUUCCAUUAGGUGCAUUGUCCAUAACCCGCUAUCCAUUUCAUAGAUCCAGAGCUCAUCAUUAGGCAAAUACACUUCAUUUUCUUCAAUUGACACGUAUCCCCCCCACACGUAGAGAAAGUUGCCGUCCACCACGGCGCAGUGACCGCUCCGCUCCUCGGCCACGCAGAACUGCUCCGCGGAGUCUGCCGCCAUCUUAGGGAGGAGGAGGAGGAGGAAGCAGCUCGCGUGCCUCAGCGCUCGCGCCCCGCCAACGCCUCCUCCGGGAGAGGCUGCGGCUCGGCGCCGUUCGCUCCCCUCAGGCGGACGGGAAGCGAGGAGGGUCCAAAGGGUGGGGCGGCGGCGGGCUGCCCUCUGCCCUCUGCCCCCGGCGCUGCAGGCGGAGCAGGUUGGCGGCGGGGCUGCGCUUAGCUGGGUUUGUUUGCGGCUCUCCCGGAACGGGGCCGCUCAGGGAGGGUGUACAGCCGUGCUGCGAUGUGUGUCUGAUGAGGGGCACAGAGGGAUGGAUUCGAGGCCUGAAACCUGACGGUAAACGCACGAGAAACACGGGAGGAUGCCGAGAGUAGGAUACCUGAACAUAAACCCAGUGCAAGAGUUGGAAGGGAGACUUGGGUCUGAGGCAGAGCUCAGCGUGGGACGUGGCCUGGGACAACCACAGUGAAACUUGCUCAUCUGACUCCUGCCAGAAGCAGCAGCUGUGAAACAGUAGCUGAUAGAAAAAUGACCGUGUAGGAGUUCAAACUGUUGACCUUAGAGAGAACUAUCCUGUGAAUGCGACCAUCUGACCUUCAGCUCUAAAGCAGAUGAAGUGGGAAGCUACCAACCACAGGUGGCAGAGCGCUGCAGGGGGAUCCCAGGGCUGCUGUGCAUGACCUGUGUGUUGGGGCUGCUGCUGAACCCAACCGAAUGGAGCUGCUGCUGCGAGCUCACUGUAGGCUCAUCAGGGAGUCAUUUGAGUUGGAUGGGACCUUUGAAGGCCAUCUACUCCAACUCCCCUGUAAUGAACAUGGACACCUACAGCUCCAUCAGGUACUCAGAGCCCCAUCCAGUGUGAUCUUGUGCAUGUCAUCUCCCAUCAUGUCCCCAACUACACGUUUGUCUGUUUGAGCGCUCACAACCCACCAUCCCAUCAACACCCAGGCCAUUGAGCAGCAAGACUAUUGGCUUGCCAUUGAGCAGCAAGCUGGGAUGUGCAUUCAUUCCCAUUCCAGCUCCUGUACUGUUCAAUCAACACCCAAUGAGUUUCAGCCAAAGAGUGGAUCCAUUUGGAAUGAAUGGAAUUUGAAAUAAACCAGGUACAGCUCUUCACGAGCAGUGGUGUAGAAUUUCUGAGAAACAUGCACUUGAACAUCUGUAAAAGGACACAAAUUGAGACGCACUUCUCUGAUCAAGAAGGGAGGACAUUAACUGUCAAUGAUUGUUAAUAUUAAAGUGAAUAAAAGUAACAAUGAGGCACUGGGAUGAUGGUUAAAACACAGGAAGAAAACAUUUGAUAGAGUUAAGAAACACAUCUGUAAGUCAAGUAGAGCUAUGAUGUGAUCUCAGAAAGAAACUUUGGGCAGUGUGAAGCAGUUCAUGGUUUUUGCCAGUGGAGUACUGGCAGACCCCAAAAACAAGAUAAUCUGUCAUGCUUGGUAUAACAGAAGAAUUCCAUCCAUCCAAAGGUACUACGCAGAUGUGCUGUGAGCAUAGAAUCACAGAAUGGCCCGGGCUGGAAGGGACCUCAAGGAUCAUGAAGCUCCAACCCCCGCCACAGGCAGGGCCACCAACCUCCACAUGUAAUACCAGCCCAGGCUGCCCAGGGCCCCAUCCAACCUGGCCUUGAACACCUCCAGGGAUGGACGGGGCAUCCACAGCCUCUCUGGGCAGCUGUUCCAGCACCUCACCACUCUCACAGUAAAGAACUUCCCCUGACAUCCAGUCUAAACCUUCCCUCCUUGAGCUUAACUGAUCACGAACCAUCAGACUGUCUCAGUCAGCUCUCUCCUCUCAAGCCAUGUGUGCUGAUGCCAUAGCACUGAUGUCAAGAGUCACUGCAGACUGGAG
rnacentral:lncRNA from 1 species